rnacentral:rRNA from 1 species
AACCCCGGCGAGGGGAGUGAAAAAGAACCUGAAACCGUGUACGUACAAGCAGUGGGAGCACCUUCGGGUGUGACUGCGUACCUUUUGUAUAAUGGGUCAGCGACUUAUAUUCUGUAGCAAGGUUAACCGUAUAGGGGAGCCGCAGGGAAACCGAGUCUUAACUGGGCGUUAAGUUGCAGGGUAUAGACCCGAAACCCGGUGAUCUAGCCAUGGGCAGGUUGAAGGUUGGGUAACACUAACUGGAGGACCGAACCGACUAAUGUUGAAAAAUUAGCGGAUGACUUGU